ACACUCUGGAGAGUCUCUAUUUUAAGGAGCGCCGAAGGUGUAAGGAAGGAAACUUCCCAUUCUCUCAGGCAAAAGGACAGAGCGGA
rnacentral:ncRNA from 1 species